rnacentral:hammerhead_ribozyme from 1 species
GUCCAGCUGAAGAAUCUCAAACAGGACGAAACACGUGUCCUGGAC